rnacentral:rRNA from 1 species
UACGUAGGGGGCUAGCGUUGUCCGGAAUCAUUGGGCGUAAAGAGCGUGUAGGCGGUCCGGUAAGUCCGCUGUGAAAGUCGGGGGCUCAACCCUCGAAUGCCGGUGGAUACUGUCGGGCUAGAGUGCGGAAGAGGCGAGUGGAAUUCCUGGUGUAGCGGUGAAAUGCGCGAUGAUACUACGAGGGAAGGAACCACCUUAUUCG